CCAUAUAAUGUUGAAACACAGGUCCCCAAACGAUCACAAAAGUUAAGCAAUGUCAAGCCUGGUCUGUACCUAGAUGGGUGACCACUUGAGAAUACCAGGUACUGUAA